rnacentral:rRNA from 1 species
CUACGGGGCGCUGCAGUGGGGAAUAUUGCACAAUGGAGGAAACUCUGAUGCAGCAACGCCGCGUGGAGGAUGACACUUUUCGGAGCGUAAACUCCUUUUAUAUAGGAAGAAGAUGACGGUACUAUAUGAGUAAGCGCCGGCUAACUCCGUGCCAGCAGCCGCGGUAAUACGGAGGGCGCAAGCGUUACUCGGAAUCACUGGGCGUAAAGAGCGUGUAGGCGGAUUAAAAAGUCAGAAGUGAAAUCCUAUAGCUUAACUAUAGAACUGCUUCUGAAACUCUUAAUCUAGAAUAUGGGAGAGGUAGAUGGAAUUUCUGGUGUAGGGGUAAAAUCCGUAGAGAUCAGAAGGAAUACCGAUUGCGAAGGCGAUCUACUAGAACAUUAUUGACGCUGAGACGCGAAAGCGUGGGGAGCAAACGGGAUUAGAUACCCCGGUAGUC